UGUGAAGUAAAAAAUCGUAACAAGGUCUCCGUUGGUGAACCAGCGGAGGGAUCAUUACCGAGUUUACAACUCCCAAACCCCUGUGAACAUACCACUUGUUGCCUCGGCGGAUCAGCCCGCUCCCGGUAAAACGGGACGGCCCGCCAGAGGACCCCUAAACUCUGUUUCUAUAUGUAACUUCUGAGUAAAACCAUAAAUAAAUCAAAACUUUCAACAACGGAUCUCUUGGUUCUGGCAUCGAUGAAGAACGCAGCAAAAUGCGAUAAGUAAUGUGAAUUGCAGAAUUCAGUGAAUCAUCGAAUCUUUGAACGCACAUUGCGCCCGCCAGUAUUCUGGCGGGCAUGCCUGUUCGAGCGUCAUUUCAACCCUCAAGCACAGCUUGGUGUUGGGACUCGCGUUAAUUCGCGUUCCCCAAAUUGAUUGGCGGUCACGUCGAGCUUCCAUAGCGUAGUAGUAAAACCCUCGUUACUGGUAAUCGUCGCGGCCACGCCGUUAAACCCCAACUUCUGAAUGUUGACCCU
rnacentral:rRNA from 1 species